CUUUUUUUCCCCUUCCCUUCCCCUGCCCUCCCCAACCUCUCCCAACUGGACCCGGAGGCGUACUAUAAGUACACCCAAGCCAACUUAAUUUGAACCGACAGAAUAGUGUGAUGCAAUACCGAUUUUUUUUCUCAAUAAAUUUAAUCCCACCGCGAGCCAUAAAGCGUUGUUUUAGAAAUCCUAUCGGGAUGCGUAAACUCAAUCUGCCGUUCUUGGAAAGACGUACUUUCUAGAAAAGAUGCCAAGGAAACCGAAUGACUCGCUGAAAGAUUCGUCGACGAGUGUUAGUAAACGGGAAACUUCUAGUUGCUUACGUCAAGGACCUUUCGCCCCCCUCCUCUCUCUGGCCGUAACGUCAAACAAUUAAUUUCGAUUGAAUGUGGGGUAAUUAAACGAUGGAUUAAAACAUCCUUGCCCUCUUUUCUAUCGGCUGGUCUGCGACCCGAGAUUUUUAAAAACUGUCACAGUACAAAUAUAUGAUUUUUAUAAACGACAUUUAAAAAUGAAAGUCCCGUUGGCCAUGCUCAAGGUUAUAUUGCAUGUAAUUUACGUUUAAUGUCACCUUAGCGAAAUCCUCUUGUUUAGCUAUUCAUUGGAUUCUCUCGAGUCUAGAAUGAAAUUAAUGUUUUGGAGGUCCCGUCUUUUUCAAUGUUUUAAAUCUAAUAAAGAAGAACUUGGAUUUUUAAAAAACAUAAAAAAGUACAACAUGUGGCGAGUUCUUUUUCUCUUCUUGUUACGAGGGCGGUGCACGUGUCACGACGUGUUUCUCCGCUGUAGGUCAACGGUCUCGUAACACAGGAUAUAUUUCUCUCUCUCUCUCUCUCAUUCUGUCGGUUUGUGUAUACACAGAAACCCUAAAGGUCUUAAAUGUGUACAUACCGCCAGAAUCGUCUACACAUCCCAAACUACUAGCAGUAGACAAUCAAGACUAUGUUGUUUGAUUAUAAACACAUACUUGUCUUUUCUUAUUUUUCAUCUGAUAAAACCUGAUUCUGGCUAGAGGUCAUUAUUGGCAAACCAUCAACGUUUUCUUUUGUGUCUAUUUGUCUCGGACUUUUUUUGGUUUUGUUACUGUUCCAAUCUGUCAAGUCGCGUGCAAUUUCAAUAGAGGUGAAAGGCGACCUCCUUUUAUCUGCAUUUUUACGAUUUCAUUGUAAUCGCGUCAUUGUAUAUCUAGUCAGUCUUAAAAAAAAAAAAAGAAAAAUUACUAGUAAAACAUCAAAUUUUUUUCACGUCUACAAAAAAGUUUAGUGAAUAGUGCCAAAAUACACUACUCAGCCCACCUUUCUCUAUGGCGUUCACCUGGAUACUUUCCACAUUUAAUAGGAACAUGCACGAUCUACUGUUCCGAUUUUUUAGAUGUGAUAUGUGUCUGUGAUCGAUAUCGUCGUUCUGCAGGGGAAAACACAUCGUUCCUUUUUUUAAAUGUAGAUAGAUAUAUUUUUUUCAUUUAUGUAGCCACAGUUGUAUAGUUUAAAAAAUCGAUAAGAUCGUCACGCCGGCUUUCACCUGCAAGUUUUUAGUUUUUUUGACAGGUAAAUAAUACCUGUGGAAACGAAAAAUAAUGAGUCAUAAGCGGCUUCCAAUCGUAAGAGGGUUAUGCAAUAAAAUUUUAAUAGUUUAAGCCACACGAACUCUGUGAUGACGCAAUACAGGUUUUGAUCGCGAUUUAAUUUAUCAUACAGCGCAUUUUUUAAAAAGCCAGUCCCGUUUUUUUUUUCCUCUAAUUAUUUGUGGACAUUUUCUUUGGGAAAAACAAGCAAAAUUCUCACGCAAAAAAUUGACAAAUCUUUCCUCUCGUGUUCUCAAUUUGUUUUCUUUCUCUAGUCUCAUUGUGAAAAACAUUCACAAGAGAACAAAAACGAGCAGAUGAUUUCGGAAAUUUCUUUCAAAACCUCCCCCCUUAAAAAACGAGUAGCACAAGAGAAAAAAUUCUGCUGGUCUAUGACAGACGGGGGUCAACGAUGAUCCGUUGAUGGGUCGGUGUUCCAUGUGCCCCUUUACGUCUCUACCAUAUCAUCUGAAAACCAGAUGGACUUUUCUGUGUGAGGGCUACUGGAUGAAGAAAAGGGCAGGUGUGCCAAUAGGCAGAGGGCUGCCGAUUGUCCUCGACACGGGGCAGGGAACCGUUGAUCUACUAAUACAGAGAGGCCUACCUCUAAAAAAGCCUUUGGUUAUUUGGUUAUAACGGUCGCACGAGCCCCAGUCAACAGCAAUAGGCCCUUAGUUAUGAGAGUCCUCCGCCAAGAGGGGUGUGCUAGUUGAAUAGCUGCUGUGUUUAAAUAGCGAGCGGCAAUUGAUGCAAGACAUUUUUUCUAUGCACACCUUUAGGCGUUACAAUCAUUUGUUACACAGUAGGUCGAAAGCUCUACUUUUUUUUAUGAUGGAACUAGAAUUUGAUUUGGCUACCAAGAAUUUAAGACAAUGCAGCAGCCCGAAAACGUAAAUGUAUACCGCUCCACUUUAAACAGCGGCUCGACCACCUGGAUACACCGCGGCAGAUCAAUCAGCAGGUGUUACGACCCCUAGUACAAAAUAUCUUUCGGUUGUUUGUAGCCUCUAAGCCUCGAAAACAAAAAUAGCUUCUUCAUCGUAUCAAUAAUUUUAAAAAUGAGCCAUUUCCAUUUGAUUUCUAACCGCUUUUUUGUUGUUGAAAAAUUCAAUAGAUUGUAAGUACCCUGUACAGGGCAAGAAGAAGGAAAAAAAAAAAACGAUUGCUCUCUUUAUAGACUCUUGAAGAGUUGGCCAUUCAACCAGCCUCAAUAGACCACUGCCAUCUGCCCUGUUUGACGUCUCGAGGAGCAGACAAAAAGUGUGUCUAUACCUGACUGUGAAUAAUGCAACCCGUCCAGGUGAAAAAAAGAUGGCAGCCAACGGUGUCAAUGGCCCUGAUCUCUUAAAAGCAUAUACAAGCAUUUCGUGAAUACCGUGAAAAGAGAAGUCCCGUCAAAAAUUGGCUUCAAUUUUUCCAUUCUCUUUUUUUUUGGCAUGAUUUGGGCGGACGGAAAAAUAUAUAAGAUCAAACGAAUAAAUGAUUGAUAGCAAUAACGCUACUGCUGAUAUUUCAAAUUAGGAAGAAAAGUGUUUUUUUCUUUCUUCAACUGGAUAAUCAAUGAUAAAAAAGAACUAAGAAAAAGACGAAAUGGAUUGAGGUCAAUUCCGGGAGACGGUGUGUGUGUAUUCAUUUACUUGCACAGUUUUUUUUUUUGUUGUCCUACGGCAUCAGCACCGCGGUGGCAAAUACAAGCAAAGGAGUGCCCCUUCUCCUUUUGAACAAUAUUCAGAGUUGGAUGAUGACUGGCUCGUGUCCGGUUGCCUUCAAAAAGAUUUUAAAUCCAGCGACCGUAAUGCUAGUGGUGGCCUCGUUGGUCAUCGGGUGAAAGUUCAAAUAAGAAUCUUUACCGUUCUUCUCAUCCCAAAGCUGCCCGUCUAGCACGAAAGUAACGCGCUGUUGUUGGGCGUCAUUUAAUAGCGCAAAUGGCGUCACCGAUCCUUGCUGCACACCCAGAGUAGCUUCGAGCGUCUCAGCGUCAGCAAAUCGCAGCUCUUUAGCGCCAAUAAUUUUGGAAACUUGGCUCAGCUGGACAGUUGCAUCGUGACGGGCGGUUAUGAGGUACAAUUUGCCCGUUUUCUUGUCCUUCACCAGCAGAUUCUUGGCGUGAAAGCCGGCUAAAUGCGAAAUGUGUUCCAUCAUAGCUUCCACGGUGAACACGGCCGGAUGCUCGACGGUACGAAAAGCGAUGCCAAGUUCCUUUAGAUAAUUCUCCAGAAUACUGCGCUUGCUGUCUGACGGCGCGGUCUGUUUUACGUACGACAACAAUCACCCAUAUUCGUUUUUAACUUCACACACAUCAUUCCCGGAAGAAGACAAUUUUUCUUUUAUUCAAUUUACCGCCUGCUUGACAGUAGAUCGGCAGCGAUCCAUCCAGGCACGGACGUUUUUG
rnacentral:lncRNA from 1 species